AUUGAACGCUGGCGGCAGGCCUAACACAUGCAAGUCGAACGAGUGGCGGACGGGUGAGUAAUGUAUGGGAAACUGCCCGAUGGAGGGGGAUAACUACUGGACACGGUAGCUAAUAACGCAUACCAUCGGAUGUGCCCAGAUGGGAUUCGCUAGUGGGUGGGGUAAGGGCACACCUAGGAGACGAUCCCUAGCUGGUCUGAGAGGAUGGACAGCCACACUGGAACUGAGACACGGUCCAGACUCCUACGUGAGGCAGCGGGGGGGAAUAUUGCACAAUGGGCGCAAGCCUGAUGCAGCCAUGCCGCGUGUAUGAAGAAGGCCUUCGGGUUGUAAAGUACUUUCAGCGAGGAGGCGUUACUCGCAGAAGAAGCACCGGCUAACUCCGUGCCAGCAGCCGCGGUAAUAC
rnacentral:rRNA from 1 species